AUACGUAGGUGGCGAGCGUUAUCCGGAUUUACUGGGUGUAAAGGGUGUGUAGGCGGGAUUGCAAGUCAGAUGUGAAAAUCAUGGGCUCAACUCAUGACCUGCAUUUGAAACUGUGGUUCUUGAGGGUCGGAGAGGUAACCGGAAUUCCUGGUGUAGCGGUGAAAUGCGUAGAUAUCAGGAGGAACACCGGUGGCGAAGGCGGGUUACUGGACGAUUACUGACGCUGAGACACGAAAGCGUGGGGAGCAAACAGGAUUAGAUACCCUGGUAGUCCACGCUGUAAACGAUGAAUGCUAGGUGUAGGAGGUAUCGACCCCUUCUGUGCCGUCGUUAACACAAUAAGUACCCCGCCUGGGGAGUACGGUCGCAAGACUAAAACUCAAAUGAAUUGACGGGG
rnacentral:rRNA from 1 species